rnacentral:tRNA from 1 species
GUCAGAUUGGCCGAGUGGUCUAAGGCGCCAGACUUAAGUUCUGGUCCUCGAUAGAGGGCGUGGGUUCGAACCCCACAUCUGACA